GUUAUCAACUCGACAAUUGGGUGUGGCAUAUAUUAAAAUAAAUAUUUAAAUCCUCAUUUAUUUAGUUAAACUCAAUUCAUUUUAAUCAUAAUAGUGCCAUUCGCAAGAAGAAAGGAGAACCAGCAACAUUAGUGGCACAUAAUGGAUGCAGCAUAAAAUAACAGCAAUAAUGACAGCCUGGAGAUCAAGCGAAGACGAAUUUUUUCCAACAGGACCUAUUUUGUGCUAGCGGCAGAAAUUGAUUUAUUAAGUUCCAUACGCAUUGAUGAUUCCACUCAGUUGAUUUGCAACUGCGAGCGCAUUACGUAGACAAAUAAAAGCAGCUGCAACAAAGUGUUCAAACCUAAACAGUUAUCAUACACGCAGUUCCGAAGUUCCUGUACAAAUUGAAAAGUAAGUACGUUUACAUAUUUCCUACUUAUUAUUCAUUAAUCGCAUACAAAAAGCCUCUCGCGACAUUUUUUUGUUACCAAAAGCCCAAUGAAACUCGUGUAAUUUAUAUGUCUCAUUUUUUUAUGCAAAAGCCAAUAUAUAUUGCCUCUUAGUAUGAAUGCACUCUCAGUAGGUUAAUACUUUGCUUAUGUAACAGUGUUGGGUGUCCAGAUCUGCGUUGACAGAUAUUUGAUAAAAUAUACCAACGAGAAAAAAUUUAUAAAUCAGCUUGGGAUAGAUUGUUUAUAUGUAUAUAUUUACCACUUUUUAGUCAAAUCAUUACAAUUAAGAAAAUAACUUGGCGAAUUGAGUGAAAACUCGAAUUUGCAAUUGCCAGCUCGCUC